rnacentral:tRNA from 1 species
GCGCCCGUAGCUCAAUUGGAUAGAGCGUCUGACUACGAAUCAGGAGGUUGGGAGUUCGAGUCUCUCCGGGCGCACCA